AUGACUAAUCAACUAGACUCCCUGGGAAGCUGGGUUGAUUAGGGAUGUCUGCCACGGUACAGAAGGGAAACGGUAGAUUUGCCAGCUCUGCCCUGGACAGGGAGGCAGAUGCCAGCAGUGCCUGGUCGGGGCUGGCAUGUUGGAGAACUAUUCUGGUCAGUGCUGUGCCAAUCACCAGCAUACUCCAUGGAACCAAGGCCAACUCUACUUAACCAAAAGAGUGAAAACCAAUUUUCUCAACUGGUAGAAAACGAGUCUAUUCACACCAGUGACACAGUGGCAAACAAACUCCGAACAGCAUGUUUAAGGGUGAAACAGCAGACCUGACUUCCCUCAACUGGGCCAAAGAACCCUGAGCGUCAGUCCUGUGAUCUCGGAGCUGGCCAUGGCUUGGCUGAAGUUCUAAGCUGCCUUGGGCUGGGCGAACUGUGUCCACAUCUCAGCCAGGAAUGAGAAGACUCAAGCAGACCAAAGCUUCUGCUGAUUCGGGGUGCUCAAAUUUUAAGGUGCCCAGGGCUGGGGAGAGACCCCAGGCAUUGUGCUUCCCACUUCUACCCUCCUGCUAUUAGCCUGGCUGCUGCUGUGUCUUCCCUUCCACCAGAAACUGAGGCCUCCCCUUUGCUACCAGAGGCUCCUCGGGCCAUCUGAGUUCUCAGCACUUGACAUGUGCCCUCUACUGAAUUUUUCUCUGCAUCAGAGGAACAUGCGAUUCUCUCUCACAGAAAACCCCCAUGCGAUCCCAUGUCCUGCUCCGGCUCUCCUUCCAUUUCUCUUCAUCCUUUUGGAAGAAAAAUGUUCAGAAGGGCUGACUACAUGGCAGUCUCCAGUUCCCUCCUCCCAUCCUCUCUAGGACCAGCCCUGGCUUUUCCAUGCCGGUCACCAGCGACUUCUGAGGGUGAACCCACAUUCUCCAUCUGAUGAGCUCUGCCUUCAGCAGGCAACGCAGGUGAUGGCAAGUCCUCACUUGGCCCCCAGGGACCGUGUUCCCGGUUUCCUCUCAUCUCCGCCUGCUCCAUUUUGGACCCUGUUCCCUUCUGACCUCUGGGCAUUGGUGGCUUCAGUCCAACCCCAGGCUCCAGCCUGGACCUCAUCCCUCAACUCCAGACCCAGAGCCCAGAGCAUCCACACCUCUGCUUGAACCCCUAAAAGCAACUCACACUUAACACAUCCAAGAUAGUCCCUGCCUAGUCCCCAAGAGCCUGCUCCUCUCAGUCCCUUCAAGCCCAGUUCAUGGUGGCCUUAGCCUUCCUGUUGCUCUGGCCUCAAACUCUGGAAUCUUCCUAGACCCCCUCCCCGACAUUUCUCACACCCCACCCCCAAUUAAUCACAGACCAUGCCAGCUUACCUUCAACAUGGCACCAGGACCUGGCCCCUUCCUACCACUCCUCAGUCACCACCCUGCUCUCCCUCCUGGGCUGUGUCACCACCCCCACCCUCAUAUCUGGGUCACAUAGUAGCCUCCUACCUGGUUUUCCAACCCUUUAGUGGACGUCAACCCUGCCGUGGGGCGGUCCCCUUCAAAGGCAGCUCAGGCCAUGUCACUUCUCUGCUUCUCUCCCACGGCUCCUGUCUCCCUCAAGCGGGAGUGCAAAGUCCUUCCAACCGUCCACAAGGGCCCCCCAAGAUCUGUCCCCGGGUCCCGUACCCCUCCUCCCCCGGCUCACAUUCCGGGGCAGCUGCCCUGGCCUCCUAGCUGCACACACAGGCCUCCCUCCUCAGCACCUCUGCAGGCUGCUCCCUCUGCCUGGAAGGCCCUCCUCCCUUCCCCCUCCCACCCACGUGCCUCACUUCCUCCCACCUCCUCUUUCUUCAAACAUGCCUUUCUCAGCAACCUCUUCCCUGGACACCCUUCUCUGUUCUUUUUACUCUCCUUUGAACUGCCCACCAGCUAACACUAUGUAUUCUGUGCGUUUAUUGUGGGAAAUGCUUAAUGAAGCAAGCGCCUCUUUCUCUCCCCUGAACGCUCCCCCAUAACCUGCUGAGAAUUCAAUGUGGCUUGUUCCGGAUUUCUAAGCCCACAGCUCAUGUCAUGCGUGAUCAUGGCCCUGCCCAUCCACUGUCCGGCCUGCAGGAAUCGGCACCAGCAGCCUGGAAACCAGACCCUCAGCUCAGGACCUACCCACCCUCAAGACUAGCCCAGAGACCACCCGAAGGCAGGGCUGGGCCUCGUUUGUUUCCAGGAGCCGGCAUUCAGCACAGCCCUCGGCAGGUCAAGGAAAGGGCAAACACGUGGAGGCUUAAGCGGGCUGCCAGAGCCUCAGUGCUCACCAUUUCCAAAUAUCCUAAUCUGCCCCUUCCCAGGUUCUCCAGCUGAGGGAUCCAGGACCAACCAGGGGAAACUCGCAGCUGUGCACAGAACAAACCAGCGAUCAUGAGUCAGACAGGUGGAUGAGUGGGGACCUAGAACACCCACCCCUCUAGAGGGGAGGCUCUUCUGCAACUGACCUAAUGGGGCCCAGUCAUGGCACACCUUCCAAAUUUUCAAGAAAAUUCCCAACUCCGGAUGAUGGCUUUUCCGAGAACCAAACAUCUUCUGGUUUUUCUGAGAGGCCUUCCUUGUCCCGGCCUACAUAGAACAGAGCCAAAUCAAAGGCUAUGUCUGGCGCUCAGCUGUGGGCUUCAUCUUCUGGGUGAUAGUAGCUCACCUCCUGGAUCACCAUCUUCCAGAUCUACCAGCCUCGGUGGGGUGCCCUUAGGGACUACCUCUCCUUCACCACACCCCUAGGCACACCAGGCUGGGGCCCUGCUUAUUCUCCACAACAGGCUCACUAGAGCAGAGCAGCCUGUCCUGGGAGCCCCUUCUCAACCCCCUAAGACUUGUUUUCAUCUCCUGUGUUCUCUGCUGACAUCCCCCAAUAAAGGAUCCGAACUUUCAAAAAAGAAAAAAAAAAGCACAACGCCUUAAACGUCUCCCAGUGUUUCCACAUUGGCAACUGAUCACACAUUCAACUGUGUCCAUGGGCUCGGCUGGGUGCUGACUGCUGACCUGAGCGGGUGUCUGUGGAAGAGGGAGCAGGAGAAAUCUGGGCCCAUCCAUGGCUGAAGGACCAGGCUCUGCGGACAGAGGCCUGGGCUCCCAGACUGGCCCUACCAUUUGCUUGCUGUGACCUUGAGUAAGUGCCUUUUGUCACAUGCGUCAAAUGGGGAUAACAGUUAGUAAUGAAUAAUGAGUAUCGAAUGAGAGCAAAAGCUCCCCACCGCAAAAGUCUGGUUAACCAUGCAGAGUGACUGCCUAACAGCCAGAGCAUCUCAGGGUGGACUGGGCAGACUCUCGAGAAGGAAGCAGCACCCUAGGGCAGGAGGGUCAGGUAGGGUUAGGGUUCUGAGCAGAGGCUGCAAGACCCCUGGUGGAUAGAACCCGUUUUGGAGCCUGGGCGGGGAGGUGAUGGGAGGUAGGGGAUGCAUGGCCUGUCCUGGCCACCUGGAGAGCCUCUGCCUUGGGCAUGGAUGCUCAUAUGGUUUGGCUACGUUCUCACCCAAAUCUCAUCUUGAAUUGUAGCUCCCAUAAUUCCCACGUGUUGUGUGGGAGGGAUCUGGUGGGAGAUAACCGAAUCAUGGAGGCGGUGCUCCCAUACUGUUCUCAGGGUAGUAAAUAAGUCUUAUGAGAUCUGAUAGUUUUAUAAGGGGAAGCCCUUUCCCUUGGCUUGCAUUCUCCCUCUUGCUGCCACCAUGUAAGAUGUGCCUUUUGCCUUCAGCCAUGAUUAUGCGGCCUCCCCCGCCACAUGGAACUGUAAGUCCAUUAAACCUCUUUUUCUUUGUAAAUUA